UACAGAGGUCUCAAGCGUUGUUCGGAUUCAUUGGGCGUAAAGGGCGCGUAGGCGGCCACCGCAAGUCGGUUGUGAAAUCUCCGGGCUUAACCCGGAAAGGUCAACCGAUACUGCGGGGCUAGAGUGCAGAAGGGGCAACUGGAAUUCUCGGUGUAGCGGUGAAAUGCGUAGAUAUCGAGAGGAACACCUGCGGCGAAGGCGGGUUGCUGGGCUGACACUGACGCUGAUGCGCGAAAGCUAGGGGAGCGAACGGG
rnacentral:rRNA from 1 species